AUGUAUACAUGUACAUAUACAUUUAUACAUACACACACGUUUAUACGUGUAUAUGUGUGUGUGUGUGUGUGUGUGUGUGUAU